rnacentral:tRNA from 1 species
AGAAAUUUAGGUUAACUCGACCAAAAGCCUUCAAAGCUUUCAGUAAGUUAAUACACUUAAUUUCUG